GCUGCGCUGUGGUGGCGCGUGCCUGUCGUCCCAGCUACUUGGGAGGCUGAGGUGGGAGGAUCGCUUGAGCCCAGGAGUUCUGGGCUGCAGUGCGCUAUGCCAAUCGGGUGUCCGCACUAAGUCGGGCAUCAAUAUGGUGACCUCCCGGGAGCGGGGGACCACUAGGUUGCCUAAGGAGGGGUGAACCGGCCCAGGUUGGAAACGGAGCAGGUCAAAACUCCCGUGGUGAUCAGUAGUUGGAUCGCGCCUGUGAAUAACCACUGCACUCCAGCCUAGGCAACAUAGCGAGACCCCAUCUCU
rnacentral:SRP_RNA from 1 species